GACGAACGCUGGCGGCGUGCCUAAUACAUGCAAGUCGAGCGGAUGGAAGGAAGCUUGCUUCCUAAAGUCAGCGGCGGACGGGUGAGUAACACGUGGGCAACCUGCCCCUAAGAUCGGGAUAACUUCGGGAAACCGGAGCUAAUGCCGGAUAUGAUUAUGUCUCACAUGAGACAUAAUGGAAAGACGGUUUCGGCUGUCACUUAGGGAUGGGCCCGCGGCGCAUUAGCUAGUUGGUGAGGUAGCGGCUCACCAAGGCGACGAUGCGUAGCCGACCUGAGAGGGUGAUCGGCCACACUGGGACUGAGCCACGGCCCAGACUCCUACGGGAGGCAGCAGUAGGGAAUCUUCCGCAAUGGACGAAAGUCUGACGGAGCAACGCCGCGUGAGUGAAGAAGGUUUUCGGAUCGUAAAACUCUGUUGUUAGGGAAGAACAAGUACCAUAGUAACUGAAGGUACCUUGACGGUACCUAACCAGAAAGCCACGGCUAACUACGUGCCAGCAGCCGCCGUAACAC
rnacentral:rRNA from 1 species